UAUUACGUAAUUGGGUUUCUGAGAAACCAUUGUUUCUAAAGAAGUUGAGAACUAAAUCAGGGUUUUGGGUUGUCUUGAAACAUACCUUGUAAGUGGAGCAGAGUUUGGAAGCAAAUUUUGGGGUGAAGUUAAAAGUGUUGAUGAGGUAGGAGACUGCAACUGAAGUUGAAUCUGAAGUGUAGUUGCAGAAAUGCAGAGAAAAUGGUAAUGAGAGGUUUUUGUGGGAUAGUGAUGUUGGUGGGAAAGUUAAUGCUUUGAGAUUGAGAAAGGUUGUGUGGCUAUGGAUAUUCAACAUUUAUACAGAUAGGCUUUUGUGGAAAAAUAAUAUGAAAUGAAAGAGAUGAAGAUUAAUAAAUACUAUUUCUUCUUACCUCUCCCUUUGGGACUUUGAUGACUUCAGUUUUCAGGAUAUUCGAUUUUCAUGGAGUGGAGGUAGUUUCAGGAUGGCACAACCCGUGCUGUAUAGUUUUCAUUCAAUCAUAAAUUAAAUAUGUUUUUUGUUGCUAUAAUUUUAUUUAGUCUUUGAAGAUUGUUUUCAUAUUUUUAGUUCAUGAAGUUUUUUCGGUCAAUAUUUUUAGUCUCUGCUUUUCAUUCAAUUCGUAUAUACUUUCACAUUUUUAAAUGAUUUUUUGUACUUAUGUUUAUAAUAUUAUAAGAACAUCUCCGAUAAAAAUUUAGAAUUUUUUAACAUAAAAUGAAUUAUUUAUGUGCAAAAAAUUAAAAAAUUCAUAUUUAAUUCAUCUUUGUUAAAAAAUUUAAACUUUUAUAACAGAGAUUCAUAUAAUGUACUAAACAUAACUUCAGAAAAAAAAAUAUUAAAAUAGUAUGCACGAGUUGAAUGAAAAGUAUGGACUAAAAACAUUUACGGAAAAAACUUCAGGGACUAAAAAGUGUGAAAAAUAUCUUCUGGGACUAAAAUGAAAAUUCUGAAAAACUAUAGGGACCAAAAACAUAUUUAACCCUAAAAACAACAGCAAAUUAUAUUUCAAGGUAAAGACAUGUCCUGAAUCUAAGAGAUUCCGGGUUCGAGUUUCCUGUUCUCUAAGUCUUAUGGUCUUUCUUGCCUUGGAUUGGGGCACACCUUAAAUUUUUCUAAUAAAAAACUUAUAAAGCAAUCCGGUUCGGUUUUUAUCCAAAAAAAAAAUAAUGGUUUAAUCGAUUUUCUUAUCCGAUUUAGUUUGGUUUGACGGUCCGAUUUACUGCUUUUUUUUUUGUUUGAUUUGGUUUCAGCUUAAUCGUUUUUUAUCUGCUUACACUCCAACACGCGCCCUCACCUUGACACUACUGGUUGGCACAUCUUGUCUAACCCGCUAAAAACAAAUAUUACUUUUCGUGCCCCUGAGCUCUUCAGGCGUCCCCUUAACUUCCAAUUUUACCUCGUACAUGUUAGGUAACUAAUGUGUAAAUAGCAAAAACUGGGGAAAAAAACAAUUUGCAUCCUAGGAUGUGAACCGAGUUCACUACCUAGGAUGGAAACCUUAUAAAAAUCAAGGUCCUCUCUACCGUUCUCUCACCUUCCAUGAAACAAUUUUGAAUGAAACAUCGUUCACAAGUUAAAGUGUCAAUCAUUCCUUCAACCUCCAAGAAAAUAUUUUGAAUGAAACACUGUAUGAGCGAUUAAAAAAAAUAAAAGAGGUUUCAAUUUAUAGAAUUAUACGGUGUGUGUGGUCGAUAUUGUCACGUCCGCUUAAGUGGCCAAUCAAAAUGUGGUAUUUGGCCAAAUUUUAAUAAGGUUCACUGAUUAAAGUGCAAACUGAGUCGCACUCUAAGUAGCAAACUGUGUUUGAAUUCACACUCUAAAUAACGAACUGUAUUUCAGUUUAUACUCUAAGUAGCGAAUUGUAUUUCAAUCCACACUCUAAAUAGCGAACUAUAUUUAAGUUUGCACUUUAAGUAACGAACUGUGUUUUUUUUAUAAUAUUUUCAUUCGUGGGGGGUUUGAAGAGUGCAAACAUUGGAGUUGAGUAAAAAUAAAUUGUCACUCACCACGUAGGAUGUCAACUGAGUUCGCUACCUACAUAGCUAGAAAAGGUAUUUUAGUCAUUUCAAGAGCCAUGAAAAGAAGAACUUCUAAAAAAAAAUGGGUUGGUAACGAGAUGACCCAUUGGGUCAAAUAGUAACACAUUUUUUACUACUCUUUAUUCAUAAAUCUCAAUCAAUUUUCUAAUUUUCUCUUUAUAUUUGACUUAGAUAGGAAAAAAAAUUUAUUAAAUCACUUUGGUUUUAUGAUUUAGCCUUGUUUAUAAUAUAAUUUGAUAAAAGAGUUGGACAAAAAUUUGUUGUGACUUAGGAAGAAGAUCAGUGUAUUUAUAGAAAUUUGGAUUUAACACAGUAACUAUGACACCUAACUACUCGUGUUAGCCGCCCAAUAUAAAAUUAACGGUUGAGAUCAUGUAACAUUGAUUUUGUUAAUGUAUAAUCAAGAUAAUCUGAUCUCUAAUCAACGACCGAGCUGUGAAACUGUGUGCUUUUUCAACUACACACAAUCCGAUUCCGUAUUUAUAGGAGUCUUUAGCCUUCAUAACUGUUUGUUCAGCAAUAUAUUGGAGAUGUGCUAGUGAGACUUGUUAUUUUACUUGAAUUUGCAAAAUUGCUCUUUAGUUCUUGUCCUCAUGAAUACUGUGAGGAUGAUCAAUUUAGUCUUGUCCUCAAGUUAUAGGAUUUUGAACAGAGAGACAAGAGAAUGAAUAAACACUUUCCAAUGAUUCUAUAUGAUUGAUGACUGCUUUUCUACUAGCUACAACAACUCUUUCAGUGUAUUCGGAAGUGCGAUAUAUUAGCCUUCAAACACAUGGCCGGCCAGAACAAAGCUACAACUACAAGUUUCUGUGAAAACUAUUUUCUAAAUCCACGGCUCCAAUGCAAGAAUGGUUGAUGAAAGAAGCAACAAUCAGAUUUCAGAAUCAAGAACAUGACACUAAUUUCUGCAAAGCUGCUGCAUGAUUAUAAAGGAAAAGUGUUGGUAGUUGAUAACAAUGUAGCAAAUGCAACUGGUAACAAUUAUAAGUUACAAGCACAUUACCUGAAAAUAUCAUAGCUCAAAUAUCAGCAAUGCCAACAAAAACUAAACAAUAUAACUAACAGUCAAACACAGACUACAAGCUAGAUAUGCUUAAGAAAGAAGUUAUUUAAUUAGAAGGCAAAGAGGGGUAACUGAUUUACAUAUAAUCAACUGAAAAUAAUACGGAGUCCCUUCAAAAAAAAUAAGAGCUUAGUACAAUGUAAGAAACCUAAAUCAACAGCAUAAGCUGGUUAUCAUUUUACCUGAAGAAUUUAGGAAGGAUACUGCAGAAUGUUGCCAGAGAAAGAAAGCAUAGAUUAAUCCAUCAUGAUGAAGAUGUCAUUUCAUUUCAUACAUAGCAAACUAACACACAACAAAGUUUUGUUCCAUAUCCUUUCCAACGGAACAAAAGCUUCUUCCUUAUAGGCGAGGUUCUAUAAAAAAAUGUUUCCUUUUAAGAGUGAAAAAAAUUUAAGUGGUAAACAAAAUAGGAGGUAAGCUAUUGGUUUACUGUUACAGACCAGAACAAACGGUUAACAGUCUUCUCUCUAAACAACACGUCACUCAUCAAUUCUAGAAUUCCUGUUUCCUCUUUUGCCCCUCCUCGAAUAUACAUUCCAAAACCUGGGCCUACUUGCUUCGUUAUGAAUUAAAGGUUCAUCUAUACCGUUCCUAACAUUAACUAUUUAAUAGUAUUGAAGGCCAAAAGUUAGUAAGAGGUCCAACAAUUAAAUUCCCAGAAACUGCAUCAAGAAAUUACUCUACUAGGGUUAUGAAGCACGGACACUCCUCAGAUUAGGCGUGUGCCGUUGUCAGGCAUGCAUCUGUGUUGGACACCAACACAACGCCGACACUUAUGAUUACACUGAAUUGUCAUUUUUUUCAAAUUAUUAUCUGUGUUGCCGUGUUAAUGUCUUUGUCUUUUCCGGUGUCCUUGUUUGUGUCCAUGCUUAUAGGUUAUAAGUGUCCAGCACAGUAGACAAUAUCCGAAAGCAGUUAAGUAAAAUCUCAAAACAUACAUGGGAACAAGGUGUUCAAGCAUAUGCGAUGUUUAACGCAUAAACUCACAUAAAAUACAGAACAUUGAAAAAAAUGCUAGUGUAUUGUAAUUUUAAAAAAAAAACUCUGAUAUUUAACCCUAAAUCCACCAUAUCUAUAUCAGUUGGCCAAAAAGUACAGAUAACAACAAUUUGAGACAAUUAAGUGUUAUGUUAAUAUGACUAUGGCAUAAGGCUAACUGCCAAGUGUUGUAGCUUCAAUUAUUAAGUUUGAGAGGUCUUCAAAAUUGUAUCACAACCAUUAUUAAGCUUGCAUUUUUCUACCAUUAUUUAUGCUGAAGAUAUUUGCGAAGUAAACACAACUGCAAAUGUAGCUUAAAACCGUUUCAAUUUCAAAUCGAUCAACCCAUGCAGUUAUAACUGAAUUUCUACAACAGAUUAUUGGACUAAACUAAACAAACAAACGCGCAGGAAAUCAUUUCAAUCGAACACCAAAAAGAAUUCCAUGCCUACAAAUGCAAUAAAAUUUCAACUUUUACGUGUAUCACUGGCAAAUUUAUAAGGUAUUAUUAAGACUGAUAUACAUCAAAUUUUUUGAAACAAUAUCAAUUAUAACAAACCAACAUUUGUCCAAAUAUAACCAAAGGAAACAAGUUAGCUAAACUUUCUCCAAUCACAUUCUGUACUGAACAUGUAUUGAAUUGUAUUCAAAUCAAAUAACAUUAGUAAGGCUAAAAUACCUGAAAAAACUGAUCAUCCCAUGCCAUUUUUGUCGGUGGUGUAUGCAAGACUAAGUUUUUCCUCAUACAGCUUUAAUAGAUUCGAAGACUCCUCCUUAAAACGUUUUAAAUAGGCAUCACGAAACAACUUCUCAGACACUACAAAUGGAUAAGUUAAGCUUGCAUUCUCUUUUCGCAGACCACUCUUCAUCAGAAAUUGCACAAUGGGGGCCCUUGGAGCGAUCCUUUUUUCCAAACUUAACGACAAAAUAUGCGGUGCUUUGGCAAUGGCGCGAGCAUCCCAACCCAAUUGAUUGACCCAAAAAUUCAUCACAGAAUUAAUUUUAGUAAUAGAUACCAACAUACAAUGAGGCUGCUUUUUAAAUGCUUCUUCUACAUCUUCAUCAGACCAACCCCAAUUCUUAUAUAAAUCAACUUUUUCGUUCCAUGCUGGUUUGUUUUCUCUAGCAAGCAAUGCUAUAACAAAAGUUGUUUUUGAUGGAUGAAACCCUGAAUUCUUUAAUUCCUCCACCAUCUCCAACAUUUCAUUCGUCUGGAAUAACCGAGUACAGCUCCGAAGCUCAAACAAUCUUACAAUAGUUGAGUCCUUCACUCCAAUAUCAACCAAUAUUUUGAUGUUAUUUAACACAACAUAAGAACUAAGUAAAUAUGGUUUGUGAAUUACAAGAUUAAUAGUUUCCUCGUUUGAUUGCAUGAAUCUAUACAACAAUUCAUAGGUUGGGACUAUAUGAUUCUCCAAGCUUGGAGACAAGACCAUAGGGUACUUACUGACAAGGUUAGCAAUGUCAGAUUUAGAAGCACCUUUGGAGAGGAAAAAUUGAAACUUUGGGAUGAGCCUUACGGAGGGGUUGCAGCAAAGUAGCCAUGGUCCUUUGGAAAUCAUAUUACUUAAUUGGGUUUCUGAGAAACCAUUGUUUCUAAAGAAGUUGAGAACUAAAUCAGCGUUUUGGGUUGUCUUGAAAUAUACCUUGUAAGUGGAGCAGAGUUUGGAAGCAAAUUUUGGGGUGAAGUUAAAAGUGUUGAUGAGGUAGGAGACUGCAAAAGAGGUUGAAUCAGAAGUGUUGUUGGUGGAAAAAUGCAGAGAACAAGAUGGUGAUGGAUAGUGAUGGAUGUUAAGAGGGAAAGUUAAGUUCUUGUUGAUAUAGAGAUAAGGUUGUGGUGUAUUGAUCAUUUGAAAAGAUUUAGAUUUGAUUUGAAGUGGAAAAAAUGGAGAAAAGGAUGAAUAUGAAGAUGUGGAUGAAGAUGAAAAGGGUUGGUGUAUCAUCAUGAANN
rnacentral:lncRNA from 1 species